UAGCCAUUUGCCUGGGGCCUCUGAACUACGCAGGUUUGAUAAUACAGCAGACAGACAAACAGAUAGAUAGAUAGAUAGAUAGAUAGCGUAGUUGGCAGGAUUAGAUAGAUAGCGUAGUUGGCAGGAUUAGAUAGAUAGAUAGCGUAAUAGAUAGCGUAGUUGGCAGGAUUAGAUAGAUAGAUAGAUAGCGUAGUUGGCAGGAUUAGAUAGAUAGAUAGAUAGCGUAGUUGGCAGGAUUAGAUAGAUAGCGUAGUUGGCAGGAUUAGAUAGAUAGAUAGCGUAGUUGGCAGGAUUAGAUAGAUAGAUAGAUACAUAGAUAGCGUAGUUGGCAGGAUUAGAUAGAUAGCAUAGUUGGCAGGAUUAGAUAGAUAGAUAGCGUACGUAGUUGGCAGGAUUAGAUAGAUAGAUAGCGUAGUUGGCAGGAUUAGAUAGAUAGCGUAGUUGGCAGGAUUAGAUAGAUAGCGUAGUUGGCAGGAUUAGAUAGAUAGAUAGAUAGCGUAGUUGGCAGGAUUAGAUAGAUAGAUAGAUAGAUAGAUAGAUAGAUAGAUAGAUAGCAUAGUUGGCAGGAUUAGA